AACGAACGCUGGCGGCAGGCCUAACACAUGCAAGUCGAGCGCCCCCUUCGGGGAGAGUCGCGAGCGUGUGAGUCGCGUGGGAACGUACCCUUAUCUUUUCGGUAGCUCUCGGGAAAUCGAAUGCUUAUCCAAUGUGUCCCUUGCGGGGAAAAGAUUUCUCGGAAUUAGAGCGGCGCGCGUCUGUUUAGCUAGUUGGUGAGGUAAAGGCCCACCAAGGCGACGCUCUGUAGCUGGUCUGAGAGGAUGACCAGCCACACUGGGACUGAGACACGGCCCAGACUCCUACGGGAGGCAGCAGUGGGGAAUAUUGGACAAUGGGCGCAAGCCUGAUGCAGCCAUGCCGCGUGAAUGAUGAAGGCCUUAGGGUUGUAAAACUCUUUAACCGGAGAAGAUAAUGACGGUACCCGGAGAAGAAGCCCCGGCUAACUUCGUG
rnacentral:rRNA from 1 species